UACGUAGGCAGCAAGCGUUGUUCGGAGUUACUGGGCGUAAAGGGUGCGUAGGCGGCUUUUUAAGUUUGGUGUGAAAUCUCCCGGCUCAACUGGGAGGGUGCGCCGAAUACUGGGAGGCUAGAGUGCGGGAGAGGAAAGUGGAAUUCCUGGUGUAGCGGUGAAAUGCGUAGAUAUCAGGAGGAACACCGGUGGUGUAAACGGCUUUCUGGACCGUAACUGACGCUGAGGCACGAAAGCGUGGGUAGCAAACAGG
rnacentral:rRNA from 1 species